rnacentral:rRNA from 1 species
GACGAACGCUGGCGGCGUGCUUAACACAUGCAAGUCGAACGGAAAGGCCUGCUUUCCCUUGUGGAUUGCGGGUACUCGAGUGGCGAACGGGUGAGUAACACGUGAGUGAUCUGCCCCCAACUUGGGUAUAAGCCUGGGAAACUGGGUCUAAUUCCCGAUAGGACUGCAGGGUGGUGCCUGUGGUGGAAAACGAUUUUCUAGUGGUUGGGGAUGAGCUCGCGGCCUAUCAGCUUGUUGGUGGGGUAAUGGCCUACCAAGGCGGCGACGGGUAGCCGGCCUGAGAGGGUGGACGGCCACAUUGGGACGGAGAUACGGCCCAGACUCCUACGGGGGGCAGCAGUGGGGAAUAUUGCACAAUGGGCGGAAGCCUGAUGCAGCGACGCCGCGUGGGGGAUGACGGCCUUCGGGUUGUAAACUCCUUUCGACCGCGAGGAAGCCACCUGGUUGGAAGGGUGGUGACGGUAGUGGUAGAAGAAGCACCGGCUAACUACG